ACAGCAUUUCUGUGCCACUUGGCGGAUUCAACCCAUCCAUCAUCGGGCCUGUCUACGCACCAUGGAUUUUCUACGCCUCAAGUUAAUUAAGUAUUACUUACUACUCCCUUAGCAUCUGUACCGACUUGAGCCAAGCGGGUGCAGUGUUUAGUGGGGCAGGAGACGAAGGCUGUGGUGAGGGAUGGAACCUGUGAAGAUUGAAGUAAAGAUAGAAAGUGAGUUGGAAGGAAGAAGUUACUCUAUUACUGAAAAGGAUGGGAGUCACAGAGGAAGAAACUGGAGGAAACUUGUACUUGGUGCAACCUGUGAAAAGAAAACGGCAAAAAAAGGGAUCUAUGAGGCACCAAGUUGACACCAUUACUUCACAACAAUUACUACAGAUAAAGUACAUUCUCCUGCUCUCUCUCACCAUGCAGUGCAGUAGUUAGCACACUUGGCUAACAACCAAGGAGGGCAAGGUUCAAGUUCUAGCCAUGGUGAGGCAAAUAGCAAGCCUCUUCAUGAGUAGUCCUGUUCACUACCACUAAACAGGUAUGAGAUGUAGGCUGAGGGAGUUGUGACAUGCAAGUGGUCUCAGUGCUACCUAAUGAUCAGUUCAUAUAAUCUUUGGGUUCUUUCCACAGGGGUUACAGCUUUCUCUCACACUAGCAACUUGGCCCCGUAUUCAGAAAGGCUCUGCUCUCACCAACUAUUUUCCAAGGCCACAGAGAUGAUUAGCCAAGUUCUCAAGAGUGUUGCUGCAGUUAAAUAAUGCAGAUAUCCUGUUAAUCUGUCACUAAAACCAUAAAAACACCCUCAAGAGCCAAAGCAACUACAACUAGAGGCUUUGGAAUGUAGUGGAGGUGUAGUGAAGAGUGUUUCAGAACAGGGUUCUUUUUCCUGGUACACUCACCUCUCCUUUCUUGUUCCGUAGACACAUGAUUUGUUGAGACUGGAAUGACACCGCAAGCACAGGGCCCUCCUCCAUCACCUUACCCAUUACCAAGUCCACAUUGUCCACAUCCAGAACCUGUGGUGGGAAAUACAAGAAGUCUUCAUUAGUGCAGCAUGUGGAGUGUAGUGUACAGUGCUCAUCACAGCAUUAUGCCAGGUGAGCACCCUGGCAUGAUGUCAUGAAGAAAAACAAGGCCUACCACAUGGGGGGUGGGGUGGGGUAUAUUUCCAUCACAGCAUUAUGCUGGGUACCAGUUGUUAGCAUGACAUCACUGCCUCCCAAUACACUCCACAGUACUGCCUCAGUGCCCACUUGGCUAUCGUGGCGAGAGGAAGUGUUGUACCCACUUGGCUGUCGUGGCGAGAGGAAGUGUUGUUGUACUGAUGUUCUCUCAUUCACACCAUCUUUCAUCUGUUUCCCAGGCUAUACCUUGGUGACUGAUCCAAAGAAAGUCAUUAAUACCUGUAACUAUAGCUCAGAUCAUAGGGCUUCACAAAGCUAGGGCUCCAGACAAGAGAAAUAGCGGCAAAUGUUGAUGUGAGUCAACAAUCUGUAAGAAACUGGGUAAAGCAUUUCAAGGUCAACAAUGUUGUACAGUUACCAUCUGCUAAACCUCGGCUUGGCCCGCAUUAGAAAGCAAGCAUGAGUUUUUUUUUCUUUCAAUUCUCUGGCAGUUACAGUGGGUGUACACUCUAGCUGCCUUUUGAGCACCGUUAAAGUACAUACAGAUAUCUUCUUUCGGGGACUAGGCUGAGUGAGGUUUAGCAGACACUAACUCUACACCAUCAUCAUCCUUGAAACACUUCACCCAGUUUCUCUUCACACCAAUAGUCGCCAUUAUUUCUUGUCUGGAACCCAGCUUUGUGAAGCCCUAUGAUUUGAGCCAUAGCAACAGGCAUCAACAACUUGCUUUUAUCCAUAGUCACCAAUGUACAGCCCAGAAACCAAAGCAAACAGAUAAAAGAUGGCACAAAUGAGAGAACAAUGGCGCAACACUUCCUCUCACCACGAUAGCUACACGGACACUGAGGCCAGUACUGUGGUGUGUGUUGGGAGGCAGUGAUGUCAUGCUAGUGGCUGGUACCCAGCAUAAUGCCAUGAUAGAAAAAGACCUUCCCCCUGUAUGGAAGACCAUUGUUUUUCAUCAUGGCAUUAUGUCGUGGCACUCACCCACCAUAAUGCCGUGACAAGCUCUAGAGUGUCUUAAUGUGUUGGCUCUAUGGCAAUGUAGAGGGGUGGUGGUGGUGUGGUUGAUAUAGGAAUACAGUGUGGUAGCUCAUCGUAAUGGAUACUGGGGAUGAAAAGGGUUUUCAUUACUGCGACAUCCAUUACAGAGAUUUGCCAGUAAAACCCUUAACUGCCCCCCUUUUCCCUUUUUUCAGUAAUUUAACUAUUUAAAGAUAUUUUGAGCUUUUAAAUCACUUCACUAUUGUACAGUAAUAAAAAUCUUAAAUGCAAAAAUAAUCAGAAAAAUUAUUAGUUUAUAUACACUUGCAAGAACUAACCUGGUACACGGACAAAUGCAAACUGACCGGCCAUUUAGAUGCCGUCCUGGGCUUCACCGGGAUCCUUCCCACUAUUGCCACCUCUCUAUAGAUUAGACAGGCUUGCCUUCUUUCUCUCACCACGCUUCACCUCGUUACCACCUCCUUUAUAUACACACACACACACACACACACACACUCUUUCUGUUUCUAUAUAAAUUUGUUUCUUAAAUUAUUUUUUAAAUCACUUAACUUUUGUUCCACAUUACUGUUGAGGUAAAAAUUCAGGUGUUUUCUGUAGCAAUGUCUGAUCCCAUUCUAAACUUAGCAUAUGAGCAGGGGGAUUGCAACCUUGCCAAUACUCCACCUGACCUGCCAUUACACACACAGUCUUACUAUAGACUAUUUCUCCUGCUGCAAACUUGCCAUAUGGCCACCUUCACAACCAAUCAAUCUAAGGCAGUAUUUUACAAUGUGAACUUGGGAGAGGGAGGGGGGAGUAUGGGAUUUGAGAAACAGGACACGGCAGCAGAACAGCAGAACAUAAGUGUUAUUUCUUCUUUAUUCCCUUUAUUUUUUUUGUGAAUUUUUUUACUUGAUAAAAAAAAAAACAUGUCAUAUGUAAGACACAUGGAACCCUGGAAAAAAUUUACUAUUUCUCCUCUUUUCUCAAUACGGUCGAAAUAAUUUGGCCAGUAUCUGACCAGUCUCUUAUUCAGCAAAAUUUGUUACUACGACGUCUGUUUUGGCAAGGUACCACUGUAACAGUAUAGUAAUAGUAUUACAGUGUUAAACUACCAUAAUGGACUUCACAGUAACAUUUUGUUGAAUAACAGACUGGUCGGAUACUGGCCACAUUAUUUUAACUGUAAUAACAAAAGAGGAGAAAUUAUAAAUUUUUUUCAGGAUUUCACAGUUCCAUGUGACCAUGACACGAUAAACAAGCCGAAAGACUCACAAAAAUAAAAAGUGAAGUGAGUAGAGAGGAGAAAAAAGAAAUUAUGCACCACUUAUUGCCACCACAGUAAGUGGGACAGUGGCAGAGAGUAAGCAAUGUCAACAACAAAACUGCUUGUCAAACCCUGCACUCCCUCUCCCUUCUCUAUCUCAAGAACGUCCUCAAAGAAAUACUUGUUCAUGUUGUAGAUUAACUACCUUAGAUUGGCUGUGAAGGUGGCCAUAUGGCAAGUUCGCAGCAGCAGAAUGGUCCAUAGCAAGACUGCCCGUGACGGCAGGUUAGGACUGACUGGUGAGUCAGGUCAUGUUGUACUCCCCCACUCAUAUCACACUUAAGAUGGGGUGAGACAUUUUUACAGAAAAUGUGCCUUAAUUUUUUACCUCACUGGUGAUGUGGAACAACACAAGUUAGAACAAUUUUGGAAAUAAUUUCAGAAACAUCAAUUUAUAAAGUAACAGGGAAGAGAAAAAUUAAGUAAGGUGAUGAUUUGUCGUUAGAGAAAGAAGGUAAGGCCAUGAUCCAUAGAGAGGUGGCCAUAGUAGGAGAAUCCUGAUGAAUGAAGCUCAGGGCCACACCUAAAUGGCCAGUUUGCAUUUGUCUCAAGUUGGUUGUUCUUGCAUUUGUACAUAGUGAUAAUUUUUUCUUGAUUAUUUUUGUGCUUAAAAGAUUUUUAUUACUGUAAAAUAUUAAGGGGACUUACAAAAAUAUAAGGGAAAAGAGGGCAGGCAGGCAAUUAAGGGUCUUACAGACGGAUCAGAGUCUGUUAUAGCAAGUCCAUUAUGGUGAGGUACCACUGUAGUCAAUUUUUAUCAUUCAAACAUUUCUCUCUCCCUCUCACCUUGGAAUCAAAUUUAAGGCCAAGUUCGUAGGCUUGCUUGACAGGGGUGGCCAGGAGGGAAUAGGCUCUCUCAUAGCACCAGUCUUGUAAAAUCUGUAGGAAAAACACCAUUACACAAUUCAGAUGAUGUAUAACAAUAAAAACAUUUUACAUCACCCUCUCAUGUACACAAACUCAUCAUUUCAAUGUGUUUAUCAAUAAUACAUCAGCUGUAAGUUUUCCUGCCCAGCCUAACUUAAUGUAGUACAUAGUAAUACAAAAUGUUUAGUCAA